rnacentral:rRNA from 1 species
AUCAACUUUCGAUGGUAGGAUAGAGGCCUACCAUGGUGGUAACGGGUAACGGGGUGUUAGGGCACGACACCGGAGAGGGAGCCUGAGAAACGGCUACCACAUCCAAGGAUGGCAGCAGGCGCGCAAAUUACCCAAUCCCGACACGGGGAGGUAGUGACAAUAAAUAACAAUACGGGGUUCUUUAGGAUUUCGUAAUUGGAAUGAGUACAAUUUAAAUCUCUUAACGAGGAACAAUUGGAGGGCAAGUCUGGUGCCAGCAGCCGCGGUAAUUCCAGCUCCAAUAGCGUAUAUUAAAGUUGUUGCAGUUAAAAAGCUCGUAGUUGAAUUUCGGGAUCAAUAUAUCGGUCGUGCCUUUGGUAUGCACUGGUAUCAUUGGUUUCUACCUUCUGACGAAUCACGAUGUCAUUAAUUUGGUGUCAUGGGGAAUCAGGACUGUUACUUUGAAAAAAUUAGAGUGUUUAAAGCAGGCACACGCUUGAAUACAUUAGCAUGGAAUAAUGAAAUAGGACGUUUGAUCUUAUUUUGUUGGUUUCUAGGAUCGACGUAAUGAUUAAUAGGGAUAGUUGGGGGCAUUAGUAUUCAAUUGUCAGAGGUGAAAUUCUUGGAUUUAUUGAAGACUAACUACUGCGAAAGCAUUUGCCAAGGAUGUUUUCAUUAAUCAAGAACGAAAGUUAGGGGAUCGAAGACGAUCAGAUACCGUCGUAGUCUUAACCAUAAACUAUGCCGACUAGGGAUCGGAUGAUGUUAAUUUUUUAAUGACUCAUUCGGCGCCUUACGGGAAACCAAAGUGUUUGGGUUC